rnacentral:lncRNA from 1 species
CAAAUAGACCCCCGACAUCCUUCCCUCCAAGAACUUCCCACCUUGCUCUUGGGGAGACUCGAACUCACAACCUCUCGGUUGGAAGCGAGGGUUGCUUACCAUCAGAGCAACCCCUCUUGUCUUGGAAUUCCAGCUAACAGUAGUAAGCUAACGAGUCUUUAUCUUUAUUGACGACUAGAUGGAACAGAACUCAAAGGGUGAUCACAUGACAUUUAUCACAACCAUGAAUGAGCUCAUUAACAGCUUGCACAUUCAAUGUUCAUAGAUAUGAGGUAGUUCAAAUCUGGAAAGUCUUUGCCCAACAUAUCCCAAAGAAACGCAUGAAAGUUAUCAUGCAAUUUGUAACACAAGAAAGUGGGCAUAAUUUCUAAAGGAUGAAACUAGAUAAAUGUUGUUGUGGACCAUCAAACAAACAGAACAAGACACACGAGCAUGUCUCCAAUUAACUAUGAUUUCUGAACUCAAAACAUGCAGCUCAAACCUUCACAAUCUCAAAGGGAGAAGAAAACAGAAUGCCAAGAACUAGAGACAAAGCAGCAAAUCUACCAAAGGCUACAGUGCGAUUCUAUGUGCGACAAAGAUGCAUAGGGAAUGCUCAUCUGUGAAACGAUCGUUCCUUAACAAAACGACCAAAACUCCAACUCAUAAAACUUAACAAACCAACGGUCCCCAGCAGUAGGGUGAUCCUAGCUUUAAAGCUUCUAGUAAUGAGGAAUAUAUUACAAGAACAGAUCAUUUAAGGUCAAGAAAACAAACGUCAUGAGGAUAAACGUCAUAGUUUCAUGCUCGCUUAACAACGAAAAAACUGAAGACUGCUGAGUCCUCAAAGAGCUGACCAUUUGAACUAGGUUCAUAGCAUAGAGUCGAGGCAUACAUAACUCAAUUAAUUCCUCAACUCUUACACCUUUCUUUACUAGCAGAAAUACUUAAAACAUGUUAAAAUAGGACUGAGAGCAAGAAGUUCAGCCAAACAGACAACAUAAACAUAUCAUUAAGACGAUUCAAAAUCCAUAGCUUGCUCGUUGACCAUAGAAUUUCAACUAUUGUUUCAGUCUUAAUCACUUUUACAAUUUUCCAUGACUCGCAUUCUCAGCAGAAACAUAGAAGAAGAAAAGAUAUGAACCUGAAACGAACUCGUCACAACACUUAAAUCGACACAGAACAAAACAGUAGAAAACCAACCCUCGAGCAACAACAACCUCAAAACUUCUCAAAUGACUCCCAUUUUGACCAAAAUCUAGACUUAUAAUAUAAAAAAAUGUGCAUUCUGAAGGUUUCAAAAGAAUUCUAAACCAUAAUUGACAAGAAAUGAAAUAACAACAUCCUCAGUGAUUUUUGUGUUGUGUCUAUUACAGGUAAAAUGAAAAAGAAAAGGAACUCUUAAAUUCCUCUCCGAAAAUCCCUCCUAAAUUCCCCCUAAAUUCCCCUUUCCAAAAUCCCUCCCCUCAAAUAAAAACCCCAAACAAAAGAGUGUCACCUUAUAUAUUCCUCCAAAGAUCUCAAACCUUCUUUCUUUUUCUCCAAGAAAUCCCCCUAAAAUCUCUUUCUAAAAUCUGAAAGUUUUUAGCCUUACUUAUGGUGAAAACGGAAAAAUUUUGGUAGUGGAUCGAAUCGAAUCCAAUCCAACGCUCCCCAUUUUUCCAUAUAUUCACCUCAAAGGCUAAAAUCCGAAAAAAAUCGAAGAGAUAGCAUGUGAGAGAGAGAAUCUGUCAGAGGUGGUUAGAAAUAUGAUGACUAUGAGAAAGGAGCAUGCGUGAGGAAUAAUUGGGAGCUUACUCGUGUGAAUUUUGGGCUGAAAUGGGGGUUGGGUUCGGGUGUUCUUCAGAGAAGAAGAACAGUCACGUGGGUGUGCU